rnacentral:rRNA from 1 species
AUGUCGCUCUGAGUACUAUAUAAUAGGUUGAAAACUCUCAACAAACGCGGAUCUCUUGGUUCUGGAAUCGAUGAAGAACGCAGCGAAAUGCGAUAAGUUAAUGUGAAUUGCAGUAUUCAGUGUAUCAUCGAAUCCUGGAAACCACAAUGCACACCAUGGUAUUCC